UUGGGAGCUCACUAACUUCGUAAUCAUGGGAACUCCAAAGUUAAGCGAAUUGAGGUCAGAGCAAUCCCAAGAUGGGUGACCCACUGAGAAGUUGCUCGUGAGUUCCCAGA
rnacentral:rRNA from 1 species